rnacentral:misc_RNA from 1 species
GAUCAUAUACUCUAGAU